CCCCUCUCAGAGUCGCACCUGGAGAGUUUCCAGUCCUCUACCAGUCUCGGCUAUGGGAGGCAAAAUCAAGCAGGCCUGUCCAUUCCAUUCCUAACUUGGGCAGUGGCUAGUGAGUGGAAGGCCAUCUGCUACAAGU